rnacentral:lncRNA from 1 species
GGCAAAGAAAAAGAUCACAACAGAUUAUAGAGUGAAAAACAAAUGAUGAGAAAAUUUUCAGGAUGAGAUGAUAUCCUGCAAUGCCUUUGGCUUGAAGAAAUUAGAAGCGACAGAGUGCAAUGACAAAAGAAACUACGCAAAUAGAAGAGUUUAUUCAUGCAUAUGAAUGAAAUAAAUCUUAAAACAUUACUAAAAGAUUGAGCAAUACCUCGAUUGUCAUAUCGCGAGCCAAAACCUUUUCAGGAGCAGGAGUAUAAUCCAUGGGAGGAAACUGAAGUGGAGGAAUAAGUUCGUGGUCCCAGCAGACAAAGUAGACGUCACCGUCCAGGUCACUUCCCGAGCAUUCAUUUGUAUGGGGUCUAACAAAUAAUGCAACCAUUGUCAGUUUACACAGGUAGUCAGGUAUAUAUCUAAGGAUUCAUCAAAACCGAACAUUUUAUUAGGAACAACCUAAUAUGAAUUAUAUUAUAACUCUUCCUUGGAAAAAAAGUGGGGGAAAAAAAAGUCUUACCUUUUUCCUUUUGCAGGGAAAACAACACAAUCCACCAUGUGAUGCAAAGAUGGUACGUCCACAGCUCUUAGCACACGCAUGUCUCCUGGGUGUAGACAUGGAUUUUUAGCAACAACCACCUUUCCCUCCACAACACCAAGUUCUCCUGAUCGGUUGUUGCAGGAAUUAUCCAAAAACUCUCUUCUUCUAGAGGCAGAACAUUGAACAAACACCUGACCAGAUUCUAAUGUGCCUGUUUCAUCAAGACAUCCCAUCAUUGCUCGUCCAUUCUGAAUAAAUAUCCUUGUUCUGGUUCUCAGCUCCAGCAGAUUUGAUGCGCGGAAUGUCUGUAGCAUCAUUAACAGAAACGGUUCUACAUCAGGCUUGUAACCACACAUGAGCAGUUCUUUCAGAACAUUUGUGUUCUCCCCUGAAGACAUCAGUUCCAGUGCCUCAUGUGCCUUCAAAGGAUCUGUUAAAAUGGCAUCUAAUUGCGCGACGCCCUCUCUCUGCUUCUUUUCAAACACAUGAUCCCUAAUGCCAAGAGUGGACAAAAGGGUUAUCAACUGGCGGUUAAGGAAACAAGGCUGAUACUUGCUAUUUGCCAAAAUGUCUAGACUUGUGCUUUCGGAUUUGUACUUGAGCAUACUCUUCCUCAAUGAUAACUUUGUUGAUGAAGUUGGAUCAACUGCUACAACACCUUUGUACCCGCCAUAUCGAAUUUGAAAUGCAGAUGGAGUAUAAAUCGUGAAACCACAAUUUUUAGCCACAAUUUCAGCUAAUUCGGCAGAUAUUUUCCCUAUACCAUCCGAGAAACAAUAUGUAAUCCCAUCGUCCUCAACCUCUACAUCAGGAAUGAUUUCAAUAUCACUACUGUCAACAUGCAGUGCCUCUCUAGAUGAGCCGAAAGACUGACCAAGUCUAGCAGCAUACUUUGCAACAUUCUUUAUGUCGCGAAAAUCACCCAUACUCUCUCUGAUAUCUGCUGCAGUAAGCUCAGGCCUGGAUGCAAACAUCCACAUAGAAUUAUCUUUUACUUGACUAUUUGAAAAUGCUAGAGUUUCGAACUUCUUAUCUCCAAUGACUAUCCCAUUUCUUAGAGUUGAGAGUACUCUUUCGUAAAUUGUUGUGUGCCUUUCUUCAUUUGUAGAGGAUAUCAGAGGAGACAAAACUGUUGAAUACAACUUAUCCAAGUCCUCAUCAACAAACGAAAGGCGAAGAAAGUUGUCAAUUUCAUCUGGAUAACUUCGUACCACACGAUUUGAUAGACUAAUCUCCGGACCAGAGAAAUAAACUUUAGAUGGGGUUACCAAAACCUUGUUUACAUAAAUCAACCCAUCAUCCAAGGCAACAGCAGGGGAUGUAAGAAAUCGCCUAGAUAAGACAUACUUCCUAUAUUGCUCUUCAAGCCAGCGUACAGGCUCAUAGCAGCAUUCUCUAAGAUGAAAUAGCGUCUCCAAAGCAUGUUCUAUGUAUUCCAUCCUGAUUCUAGUCGGAUCCACCAAGCGAAAGAAUUUUGCAUCAAGUGCAGGCCCUGGAAUGCAGCCAUGUUGAACUAGAGAAUUGAUUUUGAACAAGAUUUUGAAUUGCAGUUUAAUGCCAUGAGGUGGACUGAUCAUCGGGACAAGAUCAGUAUUGCAAGAGAAUGCAGAGCCUGGUACUAGCGUGAACUGCACUGGACUUUCUUUGUAGUAGAAGAAAUCUUUCAGAGUUUUCGGAAUAUGAGCCCCUCUGGGAAGUUCCAAACACAUAGCAGAUGAUUGUCCAAUGCUUGAAGAUGGAGUAAAAUCAACUUCACGAAUCCAGUGGACAUCUUUCUCAUAAAUCUUAGGAGCACCAUGCAACUGGCAACAGAAAAAAAAGAAAACAAGCUUUUAGCUUAUAACAUUUGAAAGGUGUAAGCUGAUCAAUCAUACAUCACUUUAUUGAAGUUAUAGCUUUCUUGUAAGUGAUCAAUUUGCAAAAAGCUGCAUUUCUUGGUACAUGACAUGAAGUGAUUCUUUAAAAAAAAAAACAAUCAGAUUAAUUAUUUGUAAUACAGAAUACAAACCUGAAUGACAAGAUACUUAUCAGAGUGACGACUGGAACGGUGAAGCACAAUCUGCCAAAUGCUUUCAUAGGAGAGCUCAAGCUUAUAAUCUACAGAUGCACAAGACAGAAAGAACACGAAUUUUCUGAGGUCCGAACACAGUUUCACAGAAACGUUUUCCUGCGACCAGAGCACAGAAAACUUGUCCUCGGAAAUUUGGCAUCCAAAAUUCAACUUCAGAUCAUCAUCCAACUUGGAAUACGGGCUCCUUCUCUUUGCAUCGGAAGCUUUUAGAUAAGAAUUCCGGUACCACAGACGACGCUCAGCAGCCAAUCCCUUGAUUAGUUCUGCAGCUUCCACAGUUGUGAACUCAACUACAGCAUGUGCUCUUGAACCUUCAUUUUGUCCAACUUCUACAUAAGAAACAGUUCCUUCACCGGUAUGUACCUCCAGAAAUUCCUUCACAGCUUCGGAAGACGCAAGUGAAGCAAAUCCAAACAAACUGAUCGUCUUAGCCAUUUCGUCUAAACAAUUUCAACUACAGUCUCAAUUGUACAGUAUUGAAGGUUAGCAACUCUUACAAUGCCAAACUUAUGCAAUCAAUUAACAAUAAAAGGCAACACAUGCUCCUACAGAAAUAUAUAACUAGGACGGAAAGCAAGUUCUAAACCAAAUACAAUAGGCAAAUGACUUACUAGAAAAGAUUGAUUACUCAGAGAAGCUUGCAGCCAGAGAUGCCAAUAAACACUAACUAGCUUUGUGAGAAACAAAUGGUGAUCAAGGAAGGUAUAUAUAGAUAGAAGAGCUCAUCAAUGCCUUCUUCUUGGUCUUCAGUUUUCAAUACUAGGAAACUUCUUGCAUAAGCAGACUUGGCUAUGACCUUUGGGCCCCAUUGAUCGUGCAGCUGCUUAAAUUAGCACCCAAACUCCCAAGUGACUGACACGUCUCGACAUCUCAUUGGCUGACAUGAGUUUUCUCCCAUGAAAUGGUUAGUUUUAACUCAACACAUAGGGUCACGCGGAGUUAGAAAAUGCCAUGUUGUGUCCCUAGUGUCUUCGUAAGAUUCUUCAGUUAAAGUCGUCAUUGGUUCAACGUUGACAUGAAGUGAUCCACUGUGAGAGUCUCCAUAGUUUCAUGCAAUAAACUAUCAAUAAGUUACCUACACAUCAUCAAGAUACUUUCUCUGUUGUGUGGUGGCACAAGAUUAUUGAGCAGCGAGCGAAGUUCUCGAAUGUUCUCGCCAUAUUUUAAUGAUUUGAUAAGAGAACAAAGUGUGCAUGCAUUUAACUUCCGUGCAAGGAAUACAUAUUUUAAGGCUAGCAAAAAGGAAAAAGGUGAUAAUGAAAAUAUAUGUCCCUAGUAGCAUGAUAGCGAAGGAGAAGGGAUCUGAGCUGCUCGAAGAAGGAUGAAUAAAGAGAUAUUUUCUGUUUUGCAUAAAGUUGUGGAGAGUGGAAACAAUAACGAAACUUGCAUGCCACGAAGAAAGACAGUAAAUGUCAGUCGGGUUCCUAGAAGCUAAAGCUAUAUCCAAUAGGAGUAAAGUCCUCGUUGUUCCACACACUUUAUGACAUUUGCAAAUUAAUAUGCAAAUUAUAUUCAUUAAGCAAGUUGUAUCUCCCUUCACUGAGAUAUAAUAUAGUAGUUAAAAUAAGAUACUGAAUAAGCUAAUUAAGCUAUCCAAAAAGAUUUACGACAAAAAUUGUGUAUCUUUAAAUGACUGUUAUUGCUUUAAUUUUUUUAUAUAAUUUUUUUAAAUGAAAACACUUUUACAACAUGAUUAGAAUUAAAUAUUUUCAGAAAUCCAAAUCUAAUCCACUAGUAAAGAUAAUAACAAUCAGGCUCGCAAGCCAUGAAGGUGAAAAGUGCACUAAACUUAGAAAGACUAUUGACCCAGCAUGCCACCAAGAGAAGCUCAAGGAAUAUAUAUACCUUUAUGUGUACUAAUGGAAUAUUAAGUUCCAUAAUGCCAUCAUUUUCUUGCUUUUGAUACAGCUUAUGCUGCCUGCGUUUUACCAUAGUUGCAGGGAAAUAAUUACCGAGUGGGAGAAUUUGAUGUGUACUGAAGGAUCAUGUAAGUUGGAUGUAUGGCCUUAUCUUGUAAAUUUGAUAAGUGAUGUGAUUUGUCAAAUGGCUUUUGGGAGCAACUAAGAAGAAGGAAUUAUAAGCAUUUUCCAGCCCCAAACAGAACUAGCUGAUCUCCCCUCGCAAGCUUUACAGUGAGUUUACAUUCCAGGAUGGAGGUGCAAAAAAUAAUCUCUGGCUAAUUUGAAAACAUGUAUAUCCCAAGUUAUUUACUAACACAAUAAUCAUAAAGUUGGAAUUUACUUAUGACGAUAGUAAGUAUUAGUCUCCUGUUUCCUUAGUCUUUUUUAUUUUCAUUUAUGUAAAUGUUUUUAGACAGUUGUACUUUAUUAAGUGCAAUUUCCGUUGUUAUUGUUGUAAAGAGUGAAUUUGCAUAUUUUAUAGAGUGCAGACUUGUGCACUUAAGAAAAACGGUUUCUUGUUAAUCUCAUUUUAGUAAAUUUUUACUGCUUAUAUAUAGAUAUGUCCCUACUAAGAGAAACAGGACAAUGAUGGACCUUGACAAGGAAAUCCGCUCUUAGAAAUAAUGAAAACAGGGGAAGCUAAAAAGGAUGACUUAUUAGGUUUGCUUAUGGAAUCAAAUUUUAGAGAAAUUAAAGAACAUCGAAACAACAGACUUAAAGGGAUCAGUAGGGACGAUGUUAUCUAUGGCUAAGAAUGUAAGCUAUUUAACUUUGCUGGACAAGAGGAUACUUCAGUUUUGCUUCUUGGCACAAUGGUUUUGCAAGUCUUUGGUGAUAUGAAAGUUGAAAACUGACUUCGAUGGAUUGAAUCACCUCAAAAUCUUAAGUAUAUAUAACUCUAGGAUUUCAUUGUGAUCAAUAUUUUCAUCACACAAUUAUGUAUCUGUUAGGAUAAUAAUUUAAUAUUUAUUUAGAUACCACUCCCAAUGAUAUUUUUAAUAUGUAUGGAUAUCAUAAAUAGUAACAUUCUUUAUCCAUGCAUCUGUGAAUUCCAAGUAAUCACAUAACAAACCAUAUUUUUAUUUUAUUACAGAAACUAAAAACAAGUUUCAAAUUCAAGUAAAGAUCACACCACACUUGCAUCAAACAGCAACAACAACAACAACAACAACUGCAGCAGCAACAGCAACAACAACAAGAAGGUAAAGAAGCCGUCACACAAGCUGCUUAUUUAAAAAAUAAUUGCACACACUUAACUAUUUUAAUGUCAAAUCGCUCCACCAACUAAGAGCACAAUCCAUGUCUGGAAUGGCACUCCCUAGCGAUGAAAAUUUUCAAGGCCUGGCCUUUAGGAGCUCUGUUUUCCCCUUUUGAUCUCAAUCAGCUUGUCAUGGAUGCACCACGGGAAGCUGAGAAAAUGGUCUCGAUUCAUUCCUUCUCGUUUAUACCGACCCCAGUAACUUGGAUGGUAAGUCACAUGGUACCAAGCUGAAGCUUUUGCGUAUACAGCUUCAUGGCUAGAAUCUGACUCAUUCUUCUUCUUGUUGAACCAGGUCCUGGCUUCUUUUCUUAAUGACCUUACAGCAAAAGUGAUUGCUUCCAAGUCUCUUUUCUUAUCAAAGGACUUUGCCAUUUCCAUGAUGCACCCACUCAGUAUUUCAGCCUCAGUUUUGAUCCCAUAAUAAUCCAUCAAGUUCCCCAACUUGAUAUCAUACUCAGUUUUGUAGUUGAAAGCAUCGAUGAUGUAGUGCUUAAAGCCAUCAACUUCCAUAUCAGUAUCAUAGGACUGCAUUGCCACUUCCUUAGUAAAGGAUUUCAUAGUGGCUGUUGAUGGUGCAAUGCCUUUUACCUCUCGAUAAAGCUUCCCAAUGACACGCUGUGAUUCAUAGCAGGUUUUGUUUUGCUUCUCCAUAAAGUCUGGAUAUUUCUUGACACGUAGUCCACUGGGUAUUGUGGCUGCUACUCCAGUUUUGGAGAAGUCCACUGCAAUGGAGGAUAGCUUUGCAAGCUCAAGACAUUUGCUGCUCCUCGCCUUGUCAGGUUCUGAAUCUGCAUGCACGACGUGGGCAUUGCAAAUUAUGCCCAAGCUGUCAUUGACUAUGUAAUCGGCAAAGUAUUCCUCUACAUCCUGCAGCAUAGAAAUGUUAAGGGGCAAAAAAAGGAUCACGGCAGAUUAAAGAGAGGAAAACAAAUGAUGAGAAGUUUUUCAGGAUAAGAUGAUACGCUGCAAUGCCUUUGGCUCGAAGAAAUUAGAAAUGACAGAGUGUAAUUACAAAAGAAACUAAGCAAAUAGAAGAGUUUAUUCAUGCAUAUGAAUGAAAUAAAUCUUAAAACAUUACUAGAAGAUUGAGCAAUACCUCGAUUGUCACGUCACGAUCCAAAACCUUUUCUGGUGCCGGAGUAUAAUCCAUUGGUCGAAACUGAAGUGGAGGAAUAAGUUCGUGGUCCCAGCAGACAAAGUAGACGUCACCGUCCAGGUCACUUCCCGAGCAUUCAUUUGUAUGGGGUCUAACAAAUAAUGCAACCAUUGUCAGUUUACACAGGUAUAUAUCUGAGCAUUUAUCAAAACAGAACAAGUCGUAAAAAAAUGUUCCAAUCGAAUCUAUUGAAAAUUUCAUUAAGAAUAAUCUAUUAUGAAUCGUACCAUAAGUCAUUCUUGGGGAAAAACCAGAAAAAAAAAAA